CAUGGCUCAGGAUGAACGCUGACAGAAUGCUUAACACAUGCAAGUCGAGGGGGAAGGGGUGCUUGCACCAUGGUAACCAGGGCGGAGGGGUGAGUAACGCGUAAGGAACUUGCCUACGGGACCGGGAUAACAGCAGGAAACUGAUGAAAAGACCGGAUAAGGUCAUGAAGCUGCAUAGCUUAGUGAUGAAAGGAGACGCCUGCGGAGAGCCUUGCGUCCUAUUAGCUAGUUGGAGGGGUAACGGCCCACCAAGGCGAAGAUAGGUAGCCGGCCUGAGAGGGUGGACGGCCACAAGGGGACUGAGAUACGGCCCUUACUCCUACGG
rnacentral:rRNA from 1 species